UCAGUCGACUCCUACGGGAGGCAGCAGUGAGGAAUAUUGGUCAAUGAGGGAACUCUGAACCAGCCAUCCCGCGUGUAGGAAGACGGCCUUAUGGGGUUGUAAACUACUUUUAUACAGGAAGAAACGUACCCUCGUGAGGGUGCCUGACGGUACUGUAGGAAUAAGCACCGGCUAACUCCGUGCCAGCAGCCGCGGUAAUACGGAGGGUGCGAGCGUUAUCCGGAUUUAUUGGGUUUAAAGGUCCGUAGGCGGAUUAAUAAGUCAGUGGUGAAAUCCCAUCGCUUAACGAUGGAACUGCCAUUGAUACUGUUAGUCUUGAAUGAGGGUGCAGUGGUUGGAAUGUGUAGUGUAGCGGUGAAAUGCAUAGAUAUUACACAGAACACCGAUUGCGAAGGCAGAUCACUAACCCUAAAUUGACGCUGAGGGACGAAAGCGUGGGGAGCGAACAGGAUUAGAUACCCUGGUAG
rnacentral:rRNA from 1 species